GGUGAAAAGAAUGAUCCUAGGAAUUCAGAAUAGAUUCCUUAUUAAGCUUCUAUAGGACCCUCACAACCAACACUACUUUACCUUCCAGGUUAGCUUCUGAAGAAGCAUUCACCAAUCUGAUGGAUAUGUGGCCAUUAAUAUUAAGGUGACUGGCUCCAUAAUUGCUGAGACAUUUGCAUCACAUAAUUACAUUGCAAUAUCAAGUUCCAAAAUACAAUGAAAAAUCAAGUGGAAAUGUCUCAAUCCAACAGCACCAGGUGCUUUGCAGGGAUUUAUCAAUGUGUGUUUUUUUACAACCUUUCUCUUCAUUUCUUUUCUUGGAGGGCAUAUUAUUUUGAUCAGGUUGUUUUUCCUACUGUUUUGAUAGAUGGAGCAAUUGUAUGUAUCUUGUCUUCUGUCUUCCAGGAGGAGGCUGUAUUAACAGAGGGAUAGAAUCAAGAUCACGUGAAGUAUUAAUAUCACUUUACAAUGCCUUGUUGUGCGGCAAAUACAUUACUGUUGCAUUGUCUUCUGCUGGGAUUUUAUGAGACUCCUAGGGGAGACCAACCACAUACGCCUCGAUAUAGAUAUUGUGUGAUGGGAGACAUGGAUGGUUUCCCCUCAAAGGAUCAACAUGGUUUCAAAAGAAAAAAAAAAGAAGAGAAAGUGACAAAGACUCUAUAAAGAAAGGAAUUAAAGGGCUGGAAGAAAUCUGAGUGGGUGAAGAGACCAGCUGUUUCAUCUUCAUUUAUCAGUGAAUUGAAAGAGCAAUUUUCUCAUUGCAACUUGGCAGACCUAUGAGCAGCAACAGCAGCUUGUUAAAAGUAGAGGGAACACUAUGUACAAAUAUUUCACAAAGGACAAAUUCAAGCAGUAAUUACAAAUCCUUUAUUUCACCAGUUGUGGAAAAAUUACAUUAUAAAAUGAGAUGUUGUAAUAAAUUAAGCUCUAAUUAUUAGGGUUGCAUAUGCUUGACUACUUAUAGGCCAGCUUUGUAGCAUGGGGUUUACUUUUAAGAGUGAUGAAGCUACAAGUCCUUGACAACAUCUUGUAGAUCAGGGGUAUCAAACUGCCAGCCCGCGGGCCGGACACGUCACACGGAAGCUGUGCCCACCCCAUUGCCGGCAAUGGCAAAACAGUCCCGAUAUGUUGCGUGACGUCAUUGACAUGCCUGUUGUAGAUGGUCAAAAUAGUAUGUAUUGGGGAAAAUCUAUGAAAAUGGGAUACCAAAAGAAAGAAAAUGCCUCAAAUUAAUAAUUAUUUUAAAAAUAAUUUUCUAAGUUAAAUCAGGAAAAAACUCCAUGGUACUCUCUUUCUUGAGACAGUCAUCAUGUAAUAAAAUUUCAUGACUCUGUUGCUACUUGUAACAGACUUUUAUUUGUGAAAUGGAAAUUUACAAUGAGUACUCAUUAAUGUGCUUUAAGAAGUCUCCUAUGAUUGAAUUUCUAAUGUUGAAGGAGUCUCUCCAAUUUAAAUUUGUAAGCCGCCCAGAGUAACUUGGUUGAGUUGGGCGGCUACAGAAAUUGAAUAAAUAGUUAAAUAAAUAAAAUUCACUACCAAAUCCAAA